rnacentral:rRNA from 1 species
GACGAACGCUGGCGGCGUGCUUAACACAUGCAAGUCGAACGGUGAGGCCCUUCUUUUGUUGGGGGCUCUAGUUGCGAACGGAUGAGUAACGUGUCAGUAACCUGCCCUUCACUUUGGUAUUACUUCAGCACACUAGGGCUUAUACCGUAUAGGAUCUCCUGCUUCUUUGUCGGGAUUGGAAUGUGUCGGCGGUUGGGGCUGGGCGUGCGGCUUAUCAGGCUGUUGGUGGGGUAGUGGCUUACCAAGGCUUUGACGGGUAGCCGGCCUGAGAGGGUUACAGGCACGAUUGGGACUGAGAUACGGGCCAGACUCCUACGGGAGGGAGCAGUGGGGAAAAGUGCAAAAUGGGCGGAAGGCUGAUGCAGCAACGGCGCGUGGGGGAUGAAGGCCUUCGGGUUGUAAACCGCUUUCGCCUGUGACGAAGCGUGAGUGACGGUAAUGGGUAAAGAAGCACCGGCUAACUACGUG